rnacentral:lncRNA from 1 species
UCUACUUGAAUGCUUGAUUCCGUAUUAGUAACUAUGUUUUACAAUCGUUGUAAAAGUGUGACUAAUAAGAAGUAAAAGAUAUAUGAGAGAAGAAAAAGGUGCUUCACAUUCGGAACGUGAAUAAAAUAUAGAUCUCUGCGAAAGCAGAUAGUACUUACUUCCUCAUAUGAACUACCAAAGAAAUUGGAAAAACCAAAGAUAGUCUUUACAUUCCAAUUUUAAGGAACUUAAUUCCGUCGCUAUAGUAGAGAUGGAUGAAUGCUUUGUUUGACAAAACAUUGUUCUUUAUUAAUCAAUGAUUGGAUUAUAGUAAUCUAAUUGAUUGUCUCUAUAGUAGAGAUGAUAUGGUAGUGUUAACUGUUUAGAAUAUAAUGAUGCUUAAAACCCAAAAGGUUGCAAGGUAGUGACUAAUCCCAACUGAGUUGUGAUACCUCUAAAACAUAAGUUAUGAGUUGGUGAAAAUGGAUGCUUUGGAUUGUUAGAUCCGGAUCCAAUACCUUCUUAUUAAAAUUGUACAGAGGCGAAAUGUUCGAAUCUUUAUUCUUUUGGAAAGAAGAAAGAUUCACAAAGUUGUUGAGGUUAAUUCACUUAGAUAUUAGUGGCACUUGUCCACAACAUAAUACUACUCAUGUUGUAUGACGUUCACCGAAGAUCACUCUCGGUUGGACUAUAGUUUAUUUUGAAUAAACACAAGUCCGAAUACUUUGCAAAAGGUUUCAAAGAAUUCAAGAAAUGUAAGUUAAUGAGUAAGACGUCUAAAGUAUUUACCUCCUUAGAUUUGAUCCAAGGAAAAGUAACACUUUAGAUGAGUUUCCUUGAAAGAUAUCAAGGAAAGAAGCAUCAUAAGAUAAUGAAUUUCUCCAUUAGGAGAAGAACGAACUUGAAUAAGAUUUAGUUCGUUAGAUGUUAUCUAUUACCCAUAUAUAGGAUAUAUACUUCUAAAAACAAUAUGAUUGUAAAUUAGAAGAUCUUUCCAAAAUUUUCAUGACUCCAUAAGAUGUAGUUGGAAAGAAAGACAAAUCUUAAGCAUGUUAAGAUUUGGGGUUGUGUGCUAAUUAGCAAUAUUUGUUUGAUAACAAUCUUGUGGGAUAUCCUUAAAUUAACUUUUGGAUAUCGCUUCUAUAAACCAACUAACAAAUGUUGUUUUGUUGGGUAGUUCAUUGUAAUCCUACAAUGUGAUUUGCCUAAGAGCUAAUGAACGAGAGAUAGAACUCAAAGGAUGGGUUCUUUGAGAGACAAGAAAGUAAUCAACAAAUAUAACAACCUAGUUCCUAUACCAAAGGCUCCAAGGUAGUCGAGAAGGAUUUAUAAACCGUCUCAGUUGAAUGGUUUGAACUUUAUGACUAUGUCAUAGAGUUACACCUCUUAAUUCGAAAGAAAUAAGAAUGAAAAUCCUUAUGACUACAUUGAGUGUAUAUAUGAUAUAUACUCAAGGCAAUGGUAAAGUACCAUUUGACCCGAAAUAAUGAAACCUUCAUAAGCUAAUUGGUAGCUUAAGGUGACUACAAUCAAAGAGCAUGGUUGACUUUGAAGAAACCAUCUUUGAGAUAGUCUAGGUUUCAAUUAAUUCGAAGAUUGCUAGCUACAACUAAAUUGUGAUUCAAUGUUUGGACAUUAUAUGGGUUUCCGAAACCAUUAUUAAGAUAGUCUUGAUAAUAUAUGUCUAAAACUAUAAAUCACAAGACAUGUAAAUUGUAGAGAUCCAUCCAUCAUGGAUCUUAGCAAGCUAAUGGGAGCUAUAAGCAUCUUAUGAGAAAAGGAUCAAAUCGUUUGAUUUCUCAUAAAGAUGUAAAUGAAUCUUUUGUUUACUAGGUUUACAAAAGAUUAGUGGGAGUUAAUAAUGUUCCUAAAAUUUAAAAUAUAUAUAUGAUAUAUUAAUUUUGGAAAUGAAAAGAAUACUUCUCCAUUAAAGUUAUGACUUUAAUACAUUAUAUGAAGAUAGAAUGUAUAUGGAAGUUAAUCAUGUUCCUAAAAUUUAAAUAUAUAUAUGAUAUAUUAAUUUUGGAAAUGAAAAGAAUACUUCUUCGUUAAAGUUAUGACUUUAAAACAUUAUAUGAAGAUAGAAUGUAUAUGGGAGACAUAGUAUAUAUACAUGGGAUGGAAAUCUAUAUUGAUAGAUUUUAGGAUAUAAUUGGAUUAUAUCAAGCCCUAAAUACAGACAAAAGAUGAUAGGAAGUUUCUCAUAUGAUGAUGAACUUCAAUCAAAUGGACAACUCUAGUAAGACUAAGGAGUUGCUCUUCUCAAAGAGAACGUACUCUUUGACUCCCAAAGAAAUAAUGCGUAAAUAGAAUCCUUUAUGCAUACGCAGAAAGGUGAUUUAUGUAUUUCAUAUUGUAUGAAAAACAUUGAUAUGAGUUGUACCUAGAAAGGUGCAAGACGAUAUCAGUGCAAGCCCAGGAUCAGAACCAUGGCAACUGUCAAGUGAGUCCUUAAGUAUUUAAGAAAUACUAAAGGAUAAAUUCCUCAAAGAUCGAGGAAGAAUUAGAGUAACGUAAUGGAAGCGUAAAUGUAUUAGAUUAUGAAUCUAAUCCAUCAUUGGAUGUUUCUUCAUUAUGAAUGAAGAGAUAAACAAAUAUCUCUUUAUUAUGACUAAAGAGAUAUUUGGAUGGAAACAUUAAAGUAAUGACUUUAGUGUGUUCCAUUAUGAAUGCAAAAUAUAUUGCCAUAUAGAAGUUUACAACAAUGUUGUUUGGAUGGGAAAGUUCAUUUAUGAACUCUCUAUUCGGUUCCAACCAGAAAGUGUAUGACACUAAUGGGGCGAUAGCUCAAGCCAGGGAAUCAAGGUCUCAUCAAGGUCCGAACUCAAAUGAGAGACUGAACCACAUGAUUGAGAAUCAUGUAUAAUGGUGACGUCGUUAUUCUCAAGGUUGCUUCUAUGGAUAACAUAUAGAUAUCCAUUGUCUAGGCCUACUACUCAGCCAUUUAUGAAAUGACUACAGAAGAGGUAUCAUCACUGAUGAACAAGCUGAUUGGCUCUAGUGCAAGUGGGAGAUUGUUGGAAAUGUGCCCUAAAACCAAUCAUAUGAUGAUACUUUACGAACAUUUCACAUGUUAAACUAAUCUAGUUUAAUAUCAAGGGCAUAGAUUAUUGUUUUAAGCCGUCUCAUAUAAAUGUUAUAUGCUUAAACGAUAAGUCCAAGGAAUAUGUGAUUGGGAGAAUACGAUCUAAAGAAGUUAGAUUCAUGAGACCAUUCUUUCGUAGACACAUCCUAAGCGUUCCUGAUCAUAGGAUUGCCAAUUGGGCAUUGACAGUCCGUUAAGAUCAGUACGUGCUGUGUCUUCUCUCAGGGAGAGUGACUAGUCUCGAGUCAUUGGUGUGUGUGACAUCAAGACAAGUACGUAGGUGUUCAAUAGAGAAUGAGUUCACUGAACACGAUCAACGAAGAGUUCUCAUAUUCAUGUCACAUGAGAACUCAUGGUUGGGAUAAUGCAAAGUAGUCCUUUGACCUGAGGUAUCAGAGCUGUCUUGUGGUUAAGUCCUUGAUCUUUGAUUAUGUCAAAGUCACCCCAUCCGCGGGUGUCCACGGCAUCGUUGGGGUUAAGCUACUUAGCCAUGGAGGCAAGUGAAUGCGCAACAAGGGAUCUCUAACCUUCAAACCGUUUGAGGGAGAAUACUCUAUGAUAUGAUUAAGAAUCUUUGGCCAAAGUAUGAAUGAGAUUUAGGAAGGCGUUCCAAAUCACAUUCAAGGUAAUCAUAUAAGCACACGAAUCACAUUGGAUAGUAGACAUGAAUAAACUAUCAAACCAAACAAUGUGGUCAAGAGUAUUGUAUUAGAGAAGGACCGUAUUGCAUUUUUAAUCCUAAACUGAAUAGGUUCUCCACCUCUUCUGAUUAGCUUGGGUAACCAUGAUAUGCUGCUAGGUGUCACCCAUGGUUUGUGGAAGCCCUAAACGUGUAUAAUCACUAAAGGGAGAAUUGAAAGUAAGUUUCAAUUCACAAUCGAUUUGAAAGAGUUUUAAUCGCCCACUGCCUCGCGAAAAGGAACCUAAUGGAUCGUACACCGUGUAAGGUGGAGAUUGAAGAAACAAUGGAGAUGAGUAAGAAUAAUUAAAAGGUUUAAUUAUUUAUGGCAAUGAUUAAUUAAUAUGUUAAUUAAUCAAACGAAUAAGUUCGUUAAAGACCUCGGGGUCGUUUUAGACCUUAAGGCCCAAUGGGCUUCGAACGUCAAGCCCAUUGACUUAAGUUGUAUGACAAUUUAAUGAAUAGAGAUUCACAAAGGCCCAAAAGCCCAAAUCCCUAAUGUGGCCGGCCAUAUGUGUUGAAUUAGGGUUUUUUGGUUCUUUAGGUCAUUUAUAGAAGUGACUAUAUAAAGAACUUUAUAGCCUAAAAUUCAUUAAGGGGUUCUUUUGGAGAAAAUUGGAGAGAACAUGUCUCUCCUUUUCUCUCUAGGAGGCCGGCCCCUUGGAGGGUGUAUCUAGCCAUACUACUACUCCAAGGUCACUCAUUCCUUCUCCAAUCUCUCCUUGGUGUGGAGACUUAGAGGUUCUCAAUUUUGGGAACUUGGAGAAACCUUUUCAUCCAUCCAAAUCCAUAGAUUUUAGAUGCAAGGAAUGAAGGCCCUCUCUUUGGGUGAUUAGCCUUUGCUUAUGCAAAGAGGAAUCUACAAAGGUAUAAAUUUCAACUCACUUUGUUUUGAGUUGAGUUUUGGUUCACCAAUCUACUAGGCUUUGAAUUUCAUGGGUAAUGUUUUGUUUUUGAGUGCAUGCAAGCAUGAUUCCGCCUUUUAAUUGUUAAAUGCAUGCUAUAGAUGUUAUUCAAAUGAACAUGUUUUCACAAAAUAAUCCUUCAAGUGAAUGCGCAACAAGGAAUCUCUAAUCAUCAUUAAGAGAGGAUGAAUACUCUAAGAUAUGAUUCUGGAAUCUUCGGCCGAAGUAUCGAGCAUAAUAAAGGAAAGCCUUCCUAUACGACUCAAUUGAAUCAUAUAAGAAGGAAUAAUCACAUUAGGGGUUUGACAUAAUAUAUCCAUACCCUAGUGAUGUGAUUGAGAGUAUUGUUUUAGAGAAGGAUCGAAUUACAUUGUAAUUCCAACUGAAUAGGUUCUCCGAACAACUUCUACAUUAGCUUGGGUAGCCAUGAUAUAUGGUUAGAUGUCACUCAUUGCUUGUGAGUUCUUCUAGAUUAUUAAAUGUAGUCGUCAAAGAAGAAGGUGAAUUAAAAGUAAGUUUUAAUUCACUAAGUGAUUGGAUUAAAUAUAAUCAAUUGGAUUGGUGCCAAUCACCUCACUGCCUUGCUAAUUAGAACCUAAAACGAUUGUUCACCAAUACACUCUUGUAGUGAGUAAUUAAUGGAUGAUGGAAAUAAUUAAUUGGAUUAAUUAAGUGUUGUGAUUAAUUAGAAAGUCUAAAGAAAUCAUAAAAGUGAUAUUAGAUCGUUUUGGGCUUAAAGAAACGUUCGGGUUUAAUUGGGCCCAUUGGGCCUAAACCCAUUGGGCUUUUAUUCAAGCAUUGGAUGACUUGAAAUAAAUAAAAGCCCAAAGCCGAAACAACACAAAGGGGCUGGCCAAAGGAGGGAGAGAAAGGUCAAAUGUUGACUUGUUUUUUUUUGGCUAUAAAAGGAACUUUAUAGCAAAUGUUUCAUUAGGGUUUUUUGAAGUGUUAAAAGAACAAAAGAGAAAAAGGAAAAAUAUCUCUCUAACACUCUAAGGGCCGGCCACCAUAGGGGGAUUUAGCUAAUCAUCUUUUCACCCAUUUGGUUAUUCUUUUAUCCUUCUCACUACACUAGUGGGUGAGGAUCUUUAGAGGUUUUCAAUUUUGGAAACUUGAAGAGAACCUAGGAGCACUCAUUCUAACAAAGUGGAGGAGGCUAGGCUCAAGGAGUUCAAGGAGCAAAGGGCUUGGAGGUGGUCCAUCCUUGGUCUAAGAUCUAGAUCAAGAGGUAUAAAACUACUCCUAAACUUUGUUCUUAUAUAUAAAUUUGUUUUUGAUGCAUCUUACAUAAACCUAUGCAUCUGGAAGGGGAUUUGCAUGACUAUUGCUUUGAUAUUAUUUGAUAACAUGCUUCCGUUGCUUUCGUAUAUAAAUUUUGAAUUGUAUAUGCAUGCUAGUCACUAGAAAUCCCACUUGAAAUCUCGUGGUUUUCCCUUCAAAUGGAUACGGUGGUGGUGGUGAUGUCGAAUGCACUGUUGACUUCUGUACUCGAAUGAUUAUGGUUAAGGAAGGAACAUGUCUCGACCUUGGGUUAUAGAACGUGAAGACAAGGUUGUCUAGAUAGCUACGAGUUCAGGAUCGCCUACACUAGGUUCAGCCGCCUUGACUACACUUGGACCUAACUGCCAAACCAAUUUUCCAGUGCAAACAUAAUCAUGGUAUGAAAUGGAGUUAGAUUAUAGAGGCAUAAAUAGACAUACUAAAGGAUGCCCAUUUUAUCAUCGAAGUGCAACAUCCGGAUUAGCUGGUGAACGUUGUGUUGGUACAAAAGAAGAACGGAAAAUGAAGGGCAUGUGGGGACUUUACUGACUUAAACAAGGCCUGUCCAAAAGAUCCAUACCCUCUUCCUGUUGAAAAUGUGCCCUAAAACCAAUCAUAUGAUGAUACUUUACGGACAUUUCACAUGUUAAACUAAUCUGGUUUUAUAUAAAGGGCAAAGAUUAUUGUUUUAAGCCAUCUCAUAUCAAUGUUAUAUGCUUAAAUGAUAAGUCCAAGGAAUAUGUAAUUGGGAGAAUGUGAUCUAAAGAAGUUAGAUUCAUGAGACCAUACUUUUUCGUAUACAUAUCCUAAACGUUCUUGACAAUAGGAUUGCCAAUUGGGCAUUGAUAGUCCGUUAAGAUCAGUACGUGCUAUGUCUUCUCUUAGAGAGAGUGACUGGUCUUGAGACUGACGCCAAGACAAGUAUGUAGGUGCUUAAUAGAGAAUGAGUCCAUUGAACACGAUCAACAAGGAGUUCUCAAACUCAUGUCACAUGAGAACUCAUGGUUGGGAUAAUGCAAAGUAGUCCUUUCACCUGAGGCAUCAUAGUUGUCUUAUGGUUAGGUCAUUGAUCUUUGACUAUGUCAAAGUCACUCCAUCAGAAGGUGUCCAGGACAUAGUUAGGGUUAAGCCACUUAGCCAUGGAGGCAAGUGAAUGCGCAACAAGGGAUCUCUAACCUUCAAACUGUUUGAGGGAGAAUAGUCUAUGAUAUGAUUAAGAAUCUCUGGCCAGAGUAUGAAUGAGAUUUAGGAAGUCAUUCCAAAUCACGUUCAAGGUAAUCAUAUAAGUAAGUGAAUCACAUUGGAUAGUAGACAUGAAUAAACUAUCAAUCCAAGUAAUGUGGUCAAGAGUAUUGUAUUAGAGAAAGACUGUAUUGCAUUGUAAUCUUAAACUGAAUAGGUUCUCCACCUUUUCUAAUUAGCUUGGGUAGCCAUGACAUACUGCUAGGUGUCACUCAUGGUUUGCGGAAGCGCUAAAGGUGUAUAAUCGCUAAAGGGAGAAUUGAAAGUAUGUAUCAAUUCACAAUCGAUUUGAAGAGUUCUAAUCACCCACUGCUUCGCUAAAAGGAACCUAAUGGAUCGUAUACCAUGUAAGGUAGAGAUUGAAGAAAUAACAUAGAUGAGUAAGAAUAAUUAAAUGGUUUAAUUAUUUAUGGCUGGGAUUAAUUAAUAUGUUUAUUAAUUAGAUGAAUAAGUUCGUUAUAGACCUCGGGUUAGUUUUGGGCCGCGAGGCGCAAUGGGGUUUGAGUAUCAAGUCCAAUAACUCAAGUUGUAUGACAACUUGAAACACAAAGGGCCUCAAAGGCCAAAGAACCCAAUAUGGCCGGCCAUAAGAGUGAUGGGUAGUGAACUUGGCUUAAUUACAAGUUUGCCGCUCCAUUGUGAGGUGGUAUAAAGGCAACUUUAUAGCCAUUUCAUCCUUGGAGUUUUUUUUUGGAGAAAAAGAUGAGAACAAUAGCUCUCAUUUUCUCUCUAGGAGGCUUGCCACCUUGGAGAAACUACUAGCAUCUAUUUCAACCAAGGUUACUCAUCUCUUCAUCAAUGCUGUCCUUGGUGUGGAGACUUAAAGGUUCUCUAUUUUGGGAACUUGGAGAAUCCAUGCUACCAUCCUCAUCCAAGAAAUCCAUGGCGCGAAGAAGUAAGGAAUGAAGGCCCUAUCUCUUGGUUGAUUAGCCUUUGCUUAUGCAAAGAGGGAUCAACAAAGGUAUAAUAUUUCUCAACUCACCUUGUUCUUGAGUUGAUUCUUGGUUCACCACACUCACUAGGCCUUGAAUUUCAUGGGUAAAGUUUUGUUUUUUUAGUGCAUACAAGCAUGAUUCCGCCUUUUAAUUGUUAAUUGCAUGCAUAGAUGUUGCUCAAAUGAACUAGUUUUCACAAAUAUUUCCUUGAAGUGGUAUCAGAGUCUAGGUCUAGUAAUUGGUGAAUCCUUUUGGGUUUUGUAGUUCAUAAUCUUUGAUUUAAAUGUUGUAAUUGUUACAAGCUUUAUUCUUGCUUCUUUAAAUGUAAAUUUUGCUAGAAAAUUUGUCAUCUCAAAUGUUGUAGAUGUAGUUCAUAUGAGCAUGAAUUUUGGAGCUAAAAUAUGAUGCCAUGUUUUUGGGGAAAUUCUGCCAAAUCCGAAGGGUGAAUUUUUUGAUUCAUGUUUGUCUUGUUCAAAGUGUUUUAAAGUGAAUUUGGAACCCCUAAGUACACUAGGAUGUUAACCCUCUUUUGAGUAGUGAAAAUUUGAGUUUUAUUGAGUUAAAACAUUCAUGGAGCUCUUAUGAGUUUUCAUGAUGUUCUUCAAUGUUCUUGCUUUGUUCAUACCAAGAACAAAAAGUUUGGAGAUUUGAUUCAAAGUUUUGGUUGGUUACAUAAAGUCUUUGUUUUGUGUUGGUUGGUGUGACUUUUCAAUCAACAAGACAUUUAAAAAAAAAAAAAAGUGAUUGGAAGGUUGAGUGUUUGAAAUUAUGUUAGUCAUCGUUGGUGUGUACUUUGCUUUCACACCCAUACCUAUUUUAUUUCAACACCUUACCUAUUUUUCAACUUACUUGACUUUGUCUUUCAUAAAAAACCACUCCCUCACAAUACCAUGACCGGCCACCCAAUUAAAGUAGGGUACUUUUGGGGCUUUUAUGCAAUUACAUAAAGUUUUGAUACUUUUUUGUAUUUGCACUUUGACCUGAAAGUUUACGUUUUUACGUAAAGGCCCAAAAUCACUAAAGGACAAUUUGUUUUGCUCCUUUAAUGAAUUUUUUGCAUUUGUUGAAAUUUUGGGUUCUAGUUGUAAUUACAUGAAGUAGUGGACUUUUGUGUUUUUACAAAGUGACCUCAAAAGUUUGUGUUUUGCAAUAUAGCCCAAUGGUUGAGGUUAUUGCUUUUUGGCCCAAAUUAGUUGAGAACAAAAUAGUUUUGUAUCUUUAAAUGAGAAUUGGAUUUUCAUUUCAUUUAGCUCCAUCUAAAUCAAUUCUAUGGAUACAUAAACCAAAUGACAAUGUUGCAUUCAAAUUUAAUUAGUUAAAGUGUUAAUUAAUUAAAGAAAGGGUGAUUAUGAACCUAAGCCUAUGAUAAUUGAGCUAUGUGAAACACCGUCUCUCAAAUUUGUUUGAACCAUGGAAAUGUGUAGAUUAGAUUUUGGUUGUAAUUUGAUAUGAUGAAAUGUUGUAAAAGAGCAUAAGCUAUUCUUUACUUUAAAGUAAUUUGUUUUGAUCAAAUGUUGUAAAAGAACAUAAGCUCUUCUUUACUUUGAAGUACUCAUUUUCUUGUUUUAUUUGACUGCAUGAAAUUGGAGUAGUAGGGUCCAACGCCCAAUAAGAAAAACACGUCUUAAUGUGAUUAAAAGCGUAACUAAAAUCAAUCACCAUUCCUAGACCGAGAUCCAACAGUAGGCUCAUGUUGGAUCGAAUCAAAGGUUCAUAGUCAUCCUAAGGCCCUAAGGCAACUAUAUAUUCCAUCAAUGAAUGCGAAGCUUAUGUUAGUAGUACCAUAUAUUCUUGCUUUAAAAACUAUUUUACAGGCAUAGUGGGAGUAUCAUAUACUACUAAAUCAAUCACAUGGACCAAUAGUUGUAAUAGGACCAAAUUGUUUUAAUAAGAUUAAAAAGCUUGCUUAUAUGUGAUGAGACCUAAAACCCUCAACCAAACCAUUAUUAAGUUGACAAGUGUGAGAGUGCUUUGACAUUUUUUCAUGGCCUUUCACCGUGCUAGGCUCCAAUCGUUUGUGACUCGUACACCGACUUCACCCUAUCAUGGAGGAGUACAAAGUGCGUGUUUACACUCAAGAGGAAUCCUAUACGCAUACAUGAUGUUGUGAAGGUAGGCAAUGAGAAUGAUCAAUAUCAUAUCAUUGUGAGGUUGUUCUUGAACCCCUACCCGAAUUUGCAUGGUGGGAAUGACUUAACUAAGUGCAAUGGAGUCAACAUCAUAUCAUUGUGAGGCAUCAUUCUCUAGAGACCAAAUAAGAUGGGUACUUAGAUGAGAUGUAAAUGAGUAAGCGUACUCUCUCAUUAUUAUUGUUGCUAGCCAACAUCAUAUCAUUGUGAGGUGGGCUUGGUAAUAGUGAGUCUCCCAUACCUUACUAAGAGUUUCCUCCAAAACUCUCGAAUUCCGAUGAGGGAUAUGGAAUUUGCCAAAAAUAGUGGGUGGUGCUAUUUGAUUUAAAGACUGAGAUCAAAUAGCUUAAAAUCAAUCAAUUUAUAUUCGUUAUGUAUUUAUUUACCGAUAUAUUUGCAAAUGCUAUCCAAAACUUGACAAAUAAAAGCCGAAGGCUUUAGUUUCCGGACUUGGUACCACAAUACCAUAGAUUGUCUUGAAUGGAUUGUAUGUGUACCUAAGUAGUCUCAUUCUUACAAUCUUCCUAUUGAUAAUGUAUCAUUGGAAGAACAUAUUAGAUAAGUCUAUCAUAAAGAGGACAACACUUUUAGUGUCAUAAUUCUUCACUUACAAAUCGUUGUAUGAAGAAAUAAGCGUUGCUUUGAACAACCCUUAGUUAACGCAAACACUAGUGCUUGUUUCUUUGUUAAAUGAACAAGGAACUUGAGAAGUAAGCACAAGGGCAUGGACACUUUAUGUGCCAUGAUUCUUCACUUACAAAUUGUUGUCUGAAUAAAUGAGAGUUGCCUUGAACAAUUCUUGAAAGUUUGUAAUUAUGUUUAGAACAUAAUGGUUGAUUGACAAAAAUAGUCCAUCAACAUGGACUUAUGAUGAUUUUGAAUCAUUGAGUGCUGAAGUGUUAAACCACUCCAAGAGACGGAAGCUAGGCAAAGACUUCACCUUUGUGUCCCUAUCCAAAUGGUUCACUAAGUUUAUUGUAAACUAUCUAGUGAACAUUAACCGCACACUCUCCAAAUCGUUUGAUGUGUAUAAACACAAUUGAAAUAAGUUUCAAGAGAGAUAAUGGGAGUUUAGGGACCAUGACUAUUGUAGUCAAAGAAGAAGUCAAAUGAAGAAGGCAAAAUAACUCCAAGGGAACAAACUUUCUUUAUGAAAGGAUGGACAUUGGAAGGGGUAUUUGCAAGAAAUGUCUUGCAAGUGUCAAGAACACACCUUUCGAAGGUGUUGUAAAUUGUUCUUGAAUAAGUUCAAAAUAGUUGGUUCUUCUACUUGAAUGCAUGAUUCCGUAUUAGUAACUAUGUUUUACAAUAGUUGUAUAAGUGUGGCUAAUAAGAAGUAGAAGAUUAAUGAGAGAAGAGAAAGUACUUCACAUUCAGAACGUGAAUAAAAUAUAGAUCUCUACCAAAGCAGAUAAUACUUACUUCCUCAUAUGAACUACCAAAGAAAUUGGAAAACCAAAUAUUGUCUUUACAUUCCAAUUUGAAUAAGAAACUUAAUUCCAUCACUAGAAGAGAUGGAUGAAUGUUUUGUUUGACAAAACAUUAUUCUUUAUUAAUGAAUGAUUGGAUUAUUGUAAUCUAAUUGAUUGUCUCUAUAGUAGAGAUGAUGUGGUAGUGUUGACUGUUUAGAAUAUAACAAUGCUUAAAGCCAAAAAUGUUGCAAGAUAGUGACUAAUCCCACUGAGUUGUGACACCUCUAAAACAUAAAUUACAAGUUGGUCAUAAAUGGAUGCUUUGGAUUGUUAGAUCCGGAUCCAAUGCCUUCUUGUUAAAAUUGUAUAGAGGAGAAAUGUUCGAAUCUUUAUUCUUUUAGAAAGAAUAAAGAAUCACAAAGUUGUUGAGGUUAAUUCACUUAGAUGUUAGUGGGACUUGUCCACAACAUAAUACUACUCAUGUUGUAUGACAUUCACCAAAGAUCGCUCUCGGUUGGACUAUCGUUUAUUUUGAAUAAACACAAGUCCAAAUGCUUUGCAAAAGGUUUCAAAGAAUUCAAGAAUGUAAGUUGAUGAGUAAGACGUCUAAAGUAUUUAUCUCCUUUGAUUUGAUCCAAGGAAAAAUAACAUUUUAGAAGAGUUUCCUUGAAAGAUAUCAAGGAAAGUAGCAUCAAAUACCCAUAUACAGGAUACAUACUUCUAAGACAAUAUGAUUGUCAAUUAGAAGAUCUUCCAAAAUUUUCAUGACUCCAUAGGAUAUAGUUGGAAAGAAAGACAAGUCUUAAGCGUGUUAAGAUUUGGGGUUGUGUGCUAAUAAGCAAUAUUUGUUUGAGAACAAUCUUGUGGGAUAUCCUUAAAUUAACCUUUGGAUAUCACUUCUAUAAACCAACUAAUAAAUGUUAUUUGUUGGGUAGUUCAUUGUAGUCCUAUCAAAGGAUUUUCCUAAUAUAAAGCAAAUGAACGAAAGAUAGAACUCAAAGAAUGGGAUCUUUGAGAUACAAGAUGAUAAUCAACUAAUAUAACAACCUAGUUCCUCCACCAGUAGCUCCAAGGUAGUUGAGAAAGAUUUAUAAACCGUCUCAGUUGAAUGGUUUGAAUUUUAUGACUAAGCCAUAGAGUUACACCUCUUAAUUCGAAAGAAAUAAGAAUGAAAAUCCUUAUGACUACAUUGAGUAUAUAUAUGACAUACACUCAAGAAAAUGGUAUAGUACCAUUUGACCCGAAAUAUUGAAACCUUCAUAGCUAAUUGGUAGCUUAAGAUGACUGCAACCAUAAAGAUUGGUUGACUUAGAAGAA